AACAAAGAAAGAAUGUUUAUUAUACUUUAUAGUAUCUAUAUACAAAUUUUGAAUAUUGAGAAACAUUCUGAGAGAGCAUUCAAAUGUACUGCUCGAAUAUACAAAGCUCAAUUAGUAUAAUAAUAAUAAUAAUACCGUAAUAACAAUAAUAAUAAACUGAAAUGGAAAAACAAAGAAAAUAUGGAAACCUUAGCUUAGAGAUUAAGCAGUUAUGGAAGUUGUCUAAAAUAAUAAUAUUCUCUGUUGCUAUAUCAUCUAAGGGGAUAAUGACAACUGACCUCGCAGAUACCUUCAAGGCCCUUAUCAGAGGGUGGUAUCGCUGCAGACCUGCCACAUCACUAGAAAAUUCCAAAGGGAACACUAUUAAAGGCACUAAGAUGAAUUUUAUUUCUCUCUAACGAAACUCGAACCUGGCAGUGCCAGAGAAUGAAUAUUAGUUCGUUUGCAACAUAAAUAACUACAUUUCUAUGAAGAUUUUCAUCACUUGUCAGAAAACUUUACAGCUGCAAACUUGCCAUAUCACAAGAAAAAUGUAUCUUAUAGUGACAAUAUGAAACAAGUUUUGUAAAAAUAUUAAUAACAAUAAACUCACAGCGUCAAAAGACAACACCAAUUGUAAACAAAAAAAAAACACUACACUUUAAGACUAAGAGACAAUGAAUAUGGAAUGUUGUCAAUUACUAAGUGGUACUGCUGUUUGACUACCACAGCAUAAGAGGACAUUGUUAAGGAGACAACAUUGAAUUUUGUUUCCCUCUAACA